rnacentral:rRNA from 1 species
UCGAAAGCGUGGGGAGCAAACAGGAUUAGAUACCUUGUAGUCCACGCUGUAAACGAUGGAUGCUAGAUGUCGGGCCUUAACCGGUUCGGUGUCGAAGUUAACGCGAUAAGCAUCCCGCCUGGGGAGUACGUUCGCAAGGCUGAAACUCAAAGGAAUUGACGGGGGCCCGCACAAGCGGUGGAGUAUGUGGUUUAAUUCGAUGCAACGCGAAGAACCUUACCUGGACUUAAAUGUAGAUUGACAGGACUAGAGAUAGUUUUUUCUUCGGACAAUUUACAAGGUGCUGCAUGGUUGUCGUCAGCUCGUGCCGUGAGGUGUCGGGUUAAGUCCCAUAACGAGCGCAACCCCUAUCUUUAGUUACCAGCACGUAAUGGUGGGGACUCUAAAGAGACUGCCUGGGUAACCAGAGAGGAAGGUGGGGAUGACGUCAAAUCAGCACGGCCCUUACGUCCAGGGCUACACACGUGUUACAAUGGUCGGUACAAAGGGCAGCUACCUAGCGAUAGGAUGCUAAUCUCUAAAACCGGUCUCAGUUCGGAUCGGAGUCUGCAACUCGACUCCGUGAAGCUGGAUUCGCUAGUAAUCGCAUAUCAGCCAUGAUGCGGUGAAUACGUUCCCGGGCCUUGUACACACCGCCCGUCAAACCAUGGAAGUUGGGGGUACCUGAAAUCUGUUACCGCA